rnacentral:rRNA from 1 species
GCGAGUGUGAGCGAAUCUCAAAAAUAAACGUCUCAGUUCGGAUUGUAGUCUGCAACUCGACUACAUGAAGCUGGAAUCGCUAGUAAUCGCGGAUCAGAAUGCCGCGGUGAAUACGUUCCCGGGUCUUGUACACACCGCCCGUCACACCAUGGGAGCCGGUAAUACCCGAAGUCAGUAGUCCAACCUCGUGAGGACGCUGCCGAAGGUAGGAUUGGCGACUGGGGUGAAGUCGUAACAAGGUACC